AUCAAGGCGUGAAGAAAUGUGUAAAACUGCACAGCGAUAGUACGUUCCAAGACUUUCUCACUGAAGAUUGAAGGAAGAUC